GAUGUUGGCUUAGAAGCAGCCAUUCAUUAAAAGAGUGCGUAAUAGCUCACUAGUCAAGAGAUCCUGCGCCGAAAAUGUCCGGGGCUCAAACUUACCACCGAAGCUACGGGUUCACACUUAGUGUGAGCGGUAGAGGAGCGUUGUAAUCGGGCUGAAGUCGUACCGUAAGGAGCGGUGGACUGAUUACAAGUGAGAAUGUUGGCAUUAGUAGCGAGAUGUAGGCGAGAAUCCUACAGGCCGAAUAUCUAAGGUUUCCUGGGUAAAGUUUGUCUUCCCAGGGUUAGUCGGGACCUAAGGCGAGGCCGAAAGGCGUAGUCGAUGGACAAUUGGUUGAUAUUCCAAUACCACUAUCAUCGUUAUUACCGAGGGUGUGACGGAGAAGGAUAGGAUGUGCUAGCUAUUGGAUGCUAGUCGAAGCGUUUAGGGAGUUAGAGUAGGCAAAUCCGCUCUAACAAUUCUGAGGCGUUAUAGGGAAGGUUCUACGGAACCGAAGUAUCUGAUUCCAUGCUUCCAAGAAAAGCAUCUAGGGAGAGAAGUAGUGCCCGUACCGCAAACCGACACAGGUAGAUGAGGAGAGAAUCCUAAGGCCGACGGAAGAAUUGCAGUUAAGGAACUAGGCAAAUUGACCCCGUAACUUCGGGAGAAGGGGUGCCUACGAAAGUAGGCCGCAGAGAAUAGGCACAAGCAACUGUUUAACAAAAACACAGGUCUCUGCUAAAGCGUAAGCUGAUGUAUAGGGGCUGACGCCUGCCCGGUGCUGGAAGGUUAAGGGGAACACUUAGCGCAAGCGAAGGUGUGAACUUAAGCCCCAGUAAACGGCGGCCGUAACUAUAACGGUCCUAAGGUAGCGAAAUUCCUUGUCAGGUAAGUUCUGACCCGCACGAAUGGCGUAAUGACUUGUGCACUGUCUCAACUGCAAAUCCGGCGAAGUUGUAGUGCGAGUGAAGAUGCUCGCUACCCGCGAUUGGACGGAAAGACCCCGUAGAGCUUUACUGUAGCUUAGCAUUGAAUUUCGGUAUUGUCUGUACAGGAUAGGUGGGAGACUGGGAAAUCAGGGCGUCAGCCUUGAUGGAGUCGUUGUUGGGAUACCACCCUGAUAGUAUUGAAAUUCUAACUGGAUGCCAUGAAACUGGUGACAGGACAUUGUUAGGUGGGCAGUUUGACUGGGGCGGUCGCCUCCUAAAAUGUAACGGAGGCGCCCAAAGGUUCCCUCAGAACGGUCGGAAAUCGUUCGAAGAGUGUAAAGGCAGAAGGGAGCCUGACUGCGAGACCUACAAGUCGAGCAGGGACGAAAGUCGGGCUUAGUGAUCCGGUGGUACCUCGUGGGAGGGCCAUCGCUCAACGGAUAAAAGCUACCUCGGGGAUAACAGGCUGAUCUCCCCCAAGAGUUCACAUCGACGGGGAGGUUUGGCACCUCGAUGUCGGCUCGUCGCAUCCUGGGGCUGAAGUAGGUCCCAAGGGUUGGGCUGUUCGCCCAUUAAAGCGGCACGCGAGCUGGGUUCAGAACGUCGUGAGACAGUUCGGUCCCUAUCCGUCGCGGGCGUAGGAAAUUUGAGAGGAGCUGUCCUUAGUACGAGAGGACCGGGAUGGACUGACCUAUGGUGUACCAGUUGUUUCGCCAGAAGCAUUGCUGGGUAGCUAAGUCGGGAAGGGAUAAACGCUGAAAGCAUCUAAGUGUGAAGCCCACCUCAAGAUGAGAUUUCCCAUAGCAUAAGCUAGUAAGACCCCUUGA
rnacentral:rRNA from 1 species